ACUUAUUGUAGCAUAAGUACAAGGCAAUUUUGUCUAUUUUUUCCAAAUCCUUUCUUUAAAUGACUAUCUCAUGCAUCUCAUUGUUACUGAGGGUUGAUGGGGCGAAUUCCUGCAAUCACCUUUCUUUAUCUGUUUAAUGAAUUCCUUUUAUACGUGUUAUUCAUAUAACUAUUCCAUUUCAGUCCAUUUGUCUUAAUUUCUGUGUGUAAUGUAAUUCCCUCGGAUGGACUUGCUCUCAUAAAUUGGAAAGAUGGCUUCUCACAAGAGCUUUCUCCAUAUUAAGACGCAAUAUGCAGUUUUCUCUGAUCAUUAUGACCUUUUUUUUAGGACAACCCACCU
rnacentral:lncRNA from 1 species